rnacentral:lncRNA from 1 species
UUUUUUUUGUCUUGCCGCUUUUAGAUUCCUAAAGCUUCAAUUUAUUCUAUACGCAAGAGAAGUGAAGAUGUUUGGAUAAAAUAUUUACUUUCAAGAUGAACAGCGUGACAGGUAGUUUUGGUGUUAAAAAGAUAACUUUGGUGUUUCUGCUCUUAUCAGCUGAUGUGAUGUUUUCUUUAUAAGUAAAGAGUCAGGAUAACAGUACAAAGUGUAACUUCUCACAUGCUAUGAUCUACCAGGAGAGAAUAUUCUUUAUGGAUAAAGAGCAGCACUGCCUAUCAGAGCAACCUUUCACUGAGACUAUGCAGGCCAAUGAAUUUGACCAUAAAGGACUCCUGUCUCCCCCUUAUACAUGGGAGACAGAUCACUGGCUCAUUUCGUAUUAGCCUCUCAGGACCCAUAGGACAGAAACAAUUUCCUUUCACUCCCAGCCAGGUUGGAAAUGACCCAGUCAUUCAGAAACAAACAGGAUGUAAGUUGAUUAAAAAAAAAAAAAUCAGCCAGAUAAUAAAAUCUUUGAUUCUACUUGAAAUGAGUUCCUUCCUUUUUCUCCGACAAGAGAAAUGGUAGAUAUGAAUGCAAAACUGAAGUAAAAUUUAGGAAAAGCAUGCAUUUUCAUACAUGGAACGCAAAUUACAAUGAAAACAAAAUAUUUUCUUGAUUUUUGAUCACGCAGCAUAAAACCCAGAAGGCACACUUUAUUAUGAAAUAGCUCAUUUGACACGUUAAGAAUAUAAUUGAAACGUGCCUCAUCCAAGAAACACAAACGAGCUUCAGUGACAUCAGCUGAAAUAUACUGGUUCUUGCUUGUGCGGUUCCUGGGGAUUUUUGAAAAUCUCCAGUCACCUCAGUGGUUGUCUGCAGGGCUUCGCAAAGGGUUUGCAAAGUCCAGAGUAAAACUGUUUGGUUUUGCCGCACGUCCGGGGAAGGCCUUCUAUCCCUCUGUACUAAUUACCCAGUGCUUUAGCUUUCUACCUCCUGACAUACUGACAUACUGAAGAUGAAGUUUGCUUUCCGUCCACACCUAUCCCGGAGCACGGGCACACAUAUGUCAAUGCAAGGCUAUGAUUAUAGGGACAAACACACACAUGAAAUGACAGCAUCAUAAAUAUUUACAGUAUACUGCACUCAGGUUAAUCAUCCACCAGGUGUUACGUGUGAACUACAACUAGUUCUCUGAAAAGGACAAAUAGAGGAAACAUUUAAACCUAUGCUUUAACGAUGGAUGGAAGAACAGAUCACUUUAAAUUCUCAUCACUCUGGACGAUAUUAGCCUCUCUGACUUCCUUACCCUCUUCUAAUAAACGCAAUCAGUAGUCUUGGCAGCCUAUCAGAAGGACAACAUUUAAACCUCCAUUUCCUUACGGCUGAUGGCAGUAAGUCAAUAAGUUUUUUAUCACUUAGGACUCUGAAGCGUGUACUCAAGUACAGUAAAUACGUGUGUGUGUGUUGGUGGGGGAGGUGAGAAGGGGCGAGGAGGUUGGUUUAAAUGAAACACAUGUGAGCAGGAGCCUGGAGGUCUGCAGCAGACACCGCCACCAGCCCCCAGAGGCGAGUCUGAGACUAACCAGGACUUCAAAUGACACGUUGUGAGACUGCAUAUACCACACAAAUUUCAUUCUAUUCUCCUCAUGCUAAUUUCAUUUUCCAAAGACAUCACUGAAAAAAAAAAAAGUAAUUUCUAGUUGCAAAGAAAUAGUUGAGACAGAAGCUGGAUAAAGAAGUUGGGGGUGCCACUAUCUGAUCAGAAUCUUGGUUCUAGGGGAGUCCUGGGUGGCUCAGCAGUUAAGCGUCUGCCUUCAGCUCAGGGCAUGAUCCUGGGGUCCCAGGAUCGGGUCUUGCAUGGGGCUCCCUGCAUGGGGCCUGCUUCUCUCUCUGCCUAUGACUCUGCCUCUCUCUCUCUCUCUCUCUCUCUCUCUCUCUCUCACUCUCUCUGUGUCUCUCAUGAAUGAAUAAAUAAAAUCUUAAAAAAAAAAAAAAGCCAAAAAAACUACUAAAAAAAAAAAAAAGAAUCUUGGUUCAAAUAACUGGAUCCCCCACCCACCGCUGAGCACAUCUUAUGGCACUAGAAAAGGGAAAUCAAAAAAAAAAAAGAAAAGACCACCCGCAUAUUUUAAAGACAGCACCAAAGUAAACUUUAUAGGAAACAUAAUUUCUUUGUAAUAUUUAUUUUAUAGCUCAGUGUUAUUCCUGAAUUAUAUUUGAAAGAGGCCACCAGAAUCUCUCCGCAUUUUGCAUUUUGAGGCAUUUAUCCUCACCCUUCUUGAAAAUGACCAGAUUAAAGAACAGGCAACAAGCCUGGAGAUGGUUUCUUUAUUCGACACGGUGCUGGAGGAAAAAAAUGACUGUGUGAGAGACUCAAUACCUUCUUUUGUCGGCUUUCAGCAGCAGCCAGCUGCGUGGACAUCCUCUCCUGCAUCUUUCUGCAGUGGGCCAUGACCGCUUCAAGGAUGGAGAGGGGGUUGGUACAAACUGGCUUCUUCUCUUUCUCGCCGGCACCUGCCUCAUAGUCUCUCUGCAGUGCCAAGAAUGGGUCAUUCAGAUUAAAUCUCCCAUACCGUUCCUGGAUAAAUACCUCCUUCCUGCGAGCCUAGAACGAAAUCAGAGGAAUGUAUUGAAGAAAGAAAUAAAAAUAUACAGAAAGAUAUUUAUAAGAAGGUUUCAUGAUUACUUUUCCAAAUGGUAUUCACAACUGUUUUGAGUAACGGCUUACAUAGGAUUUCGGGCAGUUGAGCGAGAAGUGAGGGAAUGUGACCCCAAUCCCUGACUAGCCUGGCGUGCCACUCAGUGGACAUUCGAAUUUCCUUCCUUUAAGAAUGUCUUUUAAGUUACAAAUGAUGCAAAUACAGUUUUUUUCCCACGACGCACAUUUCUUCAAGGAUCUGUGUUUUAGGUACAGUCUUUUUUCAUUUAAGGUCAAGUCAGAAGUACCAACAAUUAAAAUAACUUUCAGCAAAAGUUCAAAAGUGAAAUUAUCUCUAUAUCCUGAUAGAACUUCUAUUUCUCCUAAUACUUAUCAAGCUAAGUCACCAAAUAUAAAUCUACAAGUUUUGUAUAGUCAGAAUUUAUAAGGAUCUUUGCUAAAGAAGAAAAUACUUCAUGAGAUUUUUACGUCAAAGAGUCACAACAUUCAUAUUUUGUGAAGUCUGACAAAGCAACAACAACAACAACAAAAACCUCUAGAAGAUUUAAGAUGCAAAUAUCUCCUCACUGUUGAAGGGCAUUACAAUCGAGUUCCCAGAGUCCCAGAAAAGAAUGUAACCUCAUUUCACUCUCAGUGUCAGUCCUUCAGCGUCAAAGUUAAUUUCACAUCCACAUGGCACUAAAUGCAAUUUUCUAUAAUUAUCCUACAACAGUCUUUGCAUAAGAUGGAAAAUACUAGAAACAUACUGAAACGAGCAACAUUUUCCAAACUCAGGUCAUGUGGAAUAGCCACCAGAAAAAAAUUAUUCUGUGUCACUGCCAGCGGAAAAACUAAAUGACUUUACAAUAAAUCAAGCUAAUUGUCCAAAAUGUUAAAUGUGUUUUCUAAUGAAAUAUUACAUAAACUUCCUCACUUUAAAAGUAGCUGCAUUAAACAACUAGAUUUUUCCAUUUUUAGACCACUGUGGGCAAGCCAACAACUAAAUAAACACAAGGGCAAAUGACAAAUGGGAAAAUCUAACAUUUCUUUUCCUAUUACCAAACUAGAUUAAGAAAUACAGUUUGCAGAAAGCCCAGUUCCACCGUUAAAUUUCAGCCAGCUUUCAGAGGAUUGUUUUAAACUUACAAGUCAACCCGACUUACGAGUCAAAAAGCAUUUGCUAUUUCUCGAUUCUUCAAAUUCAAUGAAGUGAUCAAUACAUGAAGUAUCACUUCCAAGAUGCGAUUUCAAAAGCGAUUCCACUUCGCCUUCCUUCACUUUUCUCUUACUUUUUAUUCAAUGUACUAGUUCGUCCCCUACCCUGGAUAAAAACUUGAGAUACUCCGAUGGUUUUUCUCUUACUUUUUUUUUUUCCUCUUACUUUUCUCCAAUACAAGUCCUACAGUCAUUGUAGGGCAUAAACCCAUUUCGAUUUUAUUAAAACAUCCAACUUGAGUGGUAGGACAACUUCCUUUCCACAGCAAGGACUGGCUGCAGGGUAAUGUGUACCACCUGGGAAAAGAGGGUCUAUGAAAACCUUUCUCCCUUUAGGCAAGUGUCUAAGGGG